CUGCUCUCAUAGUACUUAAGGUCAGUUGUAUCGAGCCACUCCUUGAUGCCAUCAAGAGAAGUUGAAGGGAUAGAAUCAAUUCGCAUAACAUCUCUUUUGAAGUCCUUGAAUAUAAUUGUCAUGUCAAAAUUCUUCUGCUCUCAUAGUACUUAAGGUCAGUUGUAUCGAGCCACUCCUUGAUGCCAUCAAGAGAAGUUGAAGGGAUAGAAUCAAUUCGCAUAACAUCUCUUUUGAAGUCCUUGAAUAUAAUUGUCAUGUCAAAAUUCUUCUGCCCGAGACCAACCCUCUCCAAGUUGACUAUCUCAAUCUCACAGAGAGUGAUCACAACAAAUGGUGUCUCUACGAGCUCAACAAGGCAGCUAGAUGUUGGGACUAUAAAAGCUGUUGACUUGUGGGGUACCCCGUGGAAUCCAAGUUCUCUCAACGGCUGAUCAAACUCCAAAUCAAGCCCUUUAAACUGAGGCUGGGUCCAGAGGUCAUUUACCUUAUUCACAAAUGUUUGAAAUUCCAUGUUAAUCUUGUUUUUCCUAUCCCUUUCACGCUGUUCCUCCUCAAUCUCAUCAGGAUCAUAAGCAGAUCUUUUUCCACCCCCAAUUGUCUGCACAACGUCCAUCACUUCAACAUAGAACUGCACGUCCUUGGUUUUCUUGUUCCCCACCAUUAUGUGA
rnacentral:misc_RNA from 1 species